rnacentral:rRNA from 1 species
CCUACGGGAGGCAGCAGUGGGGAAUCUUGCGCAAUGGGCGAAAGCCUGACGCAGCAACGCCGCGUGGGUGAUGAAGGUCUUCGGAUUGUAAAACCCUGUCGUUAGGGACGAAGACAUGAAUCCUAAUACGAUUCAUGUUUGACGGUACCUAGAAAGGAAGCCCCGGCUAACUCUGUGCCAGCAGCCGCGGUAAUACAGAGGGGGCAAGCGUUAUUCGGAAUUAUUGGGCGUAAAGGGUGCGUAGGCGGUUUUCUAAGUCAGAUGUGUAAUCCCCGAGCUCAACUUGGGAACUGCAUCUGAAACUGGGAGACUAGAGUACUGGAGAGGAUGGUGGAAUUCCACGUGUAGCGGUAAAAUGCGUAGAGAUGUGGAGGAACACCAGUGGCGAAGGCGGCCAUCUGGACAGUAACUGACGCUGAAGCACGAAAGUGUGGGUAGCAAACAGGAUUAGAUACCCUGGUAGUCCACACCGUAAACGAUGAACACUUGGUGUAGUGGGAGUGACCCACCUGUGCGUGCGACGACGAGUAGUGUUCCGUCCGUCGGGAGGUAACGGUCGCGAGGCGUGUUAACGUUAACGUAAGUUAGUUAGGCGNGNGAGAGCGACGACGACGACGACGGAGGGAGGAGG